UUUUCCUUUAGUCUCCUAUCCUUGCUUUGCUUUCAUUCUUCUUCCUUCGAGCAAAACCGAAGCAGCUUCAUCCCCUCCGAUUCUGCAGCUCCCAUUUUACUUCAUCGAAUUCAACGUCCCCUUCUUUGCAGUCCAAGUGUUGACCGAAUCCCCUCCAUCUUCGUUGCUCCCUGCCAUACGUCCAUUUCCGCCUCCACUCACCCUACUUUGUUUGUUCCUUUCUUCUGCAUCACCGCCAGCACGCGCGCACGCCUGCCAAGUCCACCGAAUGCUCUUCUUCUCCAACAUUUCAGUCUUUGUUUUGCUCGGUCAAAACUCCAUCGAAGCCUCUGCCGAACUUGCCACCAGCCUGCUUCCAUUUUCAUUUGUUGACCCUGUGCCAGCUAGCUUCGCCCACGCAUCUCCUCGGUCUUCCCCAUCUCGCGCCAGCAAGCAUCCCGAAGCUGCUGCCAAUUCACGCCCUCCACAACUCGUGUCUUCUUCGGUCAAGUUCAGCUCCAUCUUUGACCGGAGCAUUUCGCCAUCACCUCCAGCGAAGCUUGGCCCAGCGAAGCGUUUUCUUCAAGCCCAGCCAUUUGAAGCCCAUCUUUGGGCUUUUUUGUUCAGCCCACAAACCAGUGGAGUCCAGCCCAGCGAAAUUUUCAAGUCCAGCAGCCCAUCAAUUGAGUCAUUCGGCCCACUUGAAGUCAGCCCAAGAAGCCAGUGAAGCCCAUGAAAUUUCCAGCUCAUCUUCAGUUUGAGUCAGGCCCAUUUGAAGCCCAAGCCCGCGAAGCAAGCCAGCCCAAUUCAGCAACAAGUCUCAGUUUGGGCUGAGAUUUGUUGGGCCGAUUUUAGGUCCGGUCCAAGCCCGUUAGUGUCGUCGCGAGCCCAAGUUCAGCUACCGUCGCAUCGCCGUCACGGGUCAUCAAGUGGAGGACCUGGAGCUGAGAGGAGGUGAUCAAAAGUGUAGGUCAGUUAUGACUGCUUCUUUUUAAAAAGCCAGUUGUUGUAGUCUUUUGGUCAUAGACCUUGUACAUGGAUCAGUGUGUAUAUAAAGGUGUGUGAAAUUUGUGAAUUUGAUAUUCUACUUUUCUAUCUCAA